GUGAUUUUAUUUAGUUUAUGGGUAUUUUAAUAUGAUCACAAUACUAAUGUAAUUUUAAGUAAUAUGUCACACAUCAAUGCAUCUUUAAACUAUCCUGUUCUGUACACUCUUCUAACCAGUGAGUUCGAGUUCAUCAUCUGGUCACUGGGAUUCAAUUUUCACCUUUGACCCAAAGGUUUCUUGGAUUUGUAUUUCCUAUCUCCUUGGUCACUUACUUAUAGAAUCUUGUAGUGUGAGGUUGAAUAUUUCAUUCAACCUUGGUAGUGAUUUUAUAUUUAAAGUUUCAAUAGUUUCAUUUAUUCGUAUCAAUUGUGUGUAUUUGGUAUUGGAAGAAUUAUUAUCUACAGAUUUAUUGUUUACAGUUUAAAGACAGAGCUAUAAGGUACUUCACCUUGUUUCCAGACUCUGGUUACUUUAUUAAAAACCCCUUCAUGGGUAAGAACAUUAUUAUUAUUAGUAAGAUUAUUUAGAUUAUGCCUGUAUAUUUCAUACGGGUUAACAGGAGGUAGUUUCCCUUUAAAGUAUUUAUAUAGACUAAGUAUAUAUAAAAGUAGUAGUUAGAAUAGAGAUUUUAGUGUUAAUAUGUAAUAUAUUAUUUUAAUGAAUAUGAAUGAAUUGAUUUUAUAUGUUGGAUUAUGUUAUUUAUACUGUAAUUGUAUAAUUUCAGGGUUUUUAUUAUAAGGUAAUAAAUUGCUGUUUUACUGAA